AACGAACGCUGGCGGCAUGCCUAACACAUGCAAGUCGAACGAGACCUUCGGGUCUAGUGGCGCACGGGUGCGUAACGCGUGGGAACCUGCCCUUAGGUUCGGAAUAACUCCCCGAAAGGGGUGCUAAUACCGGAUAAUGUCUUCGAACCAAAGAUUUAUCGCCUUUGGAUGGGCCCGCGUUGGUUUAGCUAGUUGGUAGGGUAAAAGCCUACCAAGGCGACGAUCCAUAGCUGGUCUGAGAGGAUGAUCAGCCACACUGGGACUGAGACACGGCCUAGAAUCCUACGGGAGGCAGCAGUGGGGAAUAUUGGACAAUGGGGGAAAGCCUGAUCCAGCAAGGCCGGGUGAGUGAUGAAGGCCGUAGGGUUGUAAAGCUCUUUUACCCGGGAUGAUAAUGACAGUACCGGGAGAAUAAGCACCGGCUAACUCCGUG
rnacentral:rRNA from 1 species